GGGGGAUUAGUGGCGAACGGGUGAGUAACACGUGAGUAACCUGCCCUUAACUCUGGGAUAAGCCUGGGAAACUGGGUCUAAUACCGGAUAUGACUCCUCAUCGCAUGGUGGGGGGUGGAAAGCUUUAUUGUGGUUUUGGAUGGACUCGCGGCCUAUCAGCUUGUUGGUGAGGUAAUGGCUCACCAAGGCGACAACGGGUAGCCGGCCUGAGAGGGUGACCGGCCACACUGGGACUGAGACACGGCCCAAACUCCUACGGGAGGCAGCAGUGGGGAAUAUUGCACAAUGGGCGCAAGCCUGAUGCAGCGACGCCGCGUGAGGGAUGACGGCCUUCGGGUUGUAAACCUCUUUCAGUAGGGAAGAAGCGAAAGUGACGGUACCUGCAGAAGAAGCGCCGGCUAACUACGUGCCAGCAGCCGCGGUAAUACGUAGGGCGCAAGCGUUAUCCGGAAUUAUUGGGCGUAAAGAGCUCGUAGGCGGUUUGUCGCGUCUGCCGUGAAAGUCCGGGGCUCAACUCCGGAUCUGCGGUGGGUACGGGCAGACUAGAGUGAUGUAGGGGAGACUGGAAUUCCUGGUGUAGCGGUG
rnacentral:rRNA from 1 species